rnacentral:rRNA from 1 species
CUGCAGCCCGAGUGGUGAUCGAUUUUAUUGAGCCUAAAGCGUCCGUAGCCGGACUAGUAAACCCUUGGGUAAAUUGGGCAGCUUAACUGUUCAAAUUCCGAGGGGACUGCUAGUCUUGGGACCGGGAGAGGUCAGAGGUACUCAAGGGGUAGGGGCUAAAUCCUGUAAUCCUUUGGGGACCACCAGUGGCGAAGGCGUCUGACUAGAACGGAUCCGACGGUAAGGGACGAAACCCUGGGGCGCGAACCGGAUUAGAGACCCGAGUAGUCC